rnacentral:lncRNA from 1 species
CCAUGGGCGUCGCGAGGAAGGACCGAGUGACCGAGGGCGCCUCCCGCCGGGAACCAGGAGGCUGCGGCGGCGUGGGGCGUCCCCGGCGUCCCCGGCGUCCCCGGCGUCCCCUUCGCUCUUCCUGGCUGCUCCUUCAGGGAGGCUGCGCUCUAAUACCCGCGCCUAGGGGGCGUACAUCGGAACGGCUUUAUUUCGCCGGACGUUUGGCUGUCAGUUUACCUCGGUUCAGAAUUCCAGGUGCUACUCCUCCACCCAGGAUCAUGGAAUGGACGCACAUGGAGCAGACCUGA